rnacentral:misc_RNA from 2 species
AACGCACAUUGCGCCCGCCAGUAUUCUGGCGGGCAUGCCUGUCCGAGCGUCAUUUCAACCAUCAAGCCCUUGGCUUGUGUUGGGGCCCUGCGGCUGUCCGCAGGCCCUGAAAAUCAGUGGCGGGCUCGUUGUCAUACCGAGUGCAGUAGUAAUAUUCUCUCUGGUCUUACAGCGUGUUCUUGCCGUAAAACACCCCAAUUUCUAAGGUUGACCUCGGAUCAGGUAGGAAUACCCGCUGAACUUAA